rnacentral:lncRNA from 1 species
UCAGAGGAAGAAAGAGCACUCAGAGGAGGAAGGAGCACUCAGAGGAGGAAGGAGCAUUCAGAGGAGGAAGGAGCACUCAGUCAGAGGAGGCGGAUCCCAGGGGAAGGAGGUGCAAAAAGCUGAGCCACAGGCAAGAAGGGAUGCCUCCCAGGACUGAGCAGAAGGGUUCAGUGAAAGAAAACCCCAGAAACUUCCUGAGAGACACAGCCCGCCUUCAGAGGACACGUUCCUUCAGCAUGAAGCACAGUGUCGUCCUGUUGGGUUAAAGCGCAGGAGAGCCAGCCAAGAAGUAAUUCUGGAGAAGCGUUCUCAAGGGCCUGUCAGUGGAUUCUCUGGGCUCUGGUCCUAGUCUUUACCCCAUAUUCAACUGGAUGGCAAGAAGUAGUCUGCUCAGAAGUCUCACUGAGUACAUCUUCCUCAUCUCCUAAGAGCUUGGGUGAAGUGUCAGUGCCUAGGAUUUCAGUUUCACUAGGACUUUUGGAUGAGAGUCUGAUUCCAUCAGUAGGAGAUACCUACGAGAGACUUGCAUUUGAACUGAGUUGUUUAGAGAGAAAAGAAGGGUGUGGGGUAUUCAUCCGGCAGACUUGGAUCUUGUCAGCACCAGCAAGUUCUAGAAUCAACAUCUAUGGUGGCUGCUUCUCAUUAGGCAGAUGGAUUCCUAUGCUGGCAGCUUCCUGAGAUGGCAGAGAGUUGUUGUUCUGAAGGGGCAGCUGUGGUAGCAGCUCCUGAUUCUGCAGCUGCCUCUUGUGCGUGCAUCAGGUGCCUUAACUGUUUAAUUCUGG